ensembl:lncRNA
GACAAGGGACGGCCCGGGGCGGGGGUCGGGCUGCCAUCAGCGCACCCAGGGCCCCAACCGACCCGGCCUUGAGCGCAUCCAAGGAUGGGGCGUUCGGCGCUUCACCUGCCCGCUGAAGUGCCAAGGCAGUGUCAGGGCCUCACCGCCCUCAAUGCUGAAAGGAUAAACACCGCAUGUCCAAGUCCUAAGUGGGGUUGGGUGCGCGGCAUUCAUCUCUGGUUUGUGUAAUUAUGAGCAUCAAUCGAGCCAGAAGAACGAAGGAACCGGCGGCAGUGAGGAGGAGCGAGCAGUGCCAGCAUCCCGGAGCGGGCGUGUUUUCCUCCCAGUCCUCCGCCUCUUCUCACCCCAGCGUGAACCACAGGUCAGAGCGGUGCUGGAGAUGCAGAUGGCUACAAGCUCACACGCAGCAAGGUGUUUCGGCAGCUCAGCCUAGCAGGUUUGAACAGUUAGAGAUAACCAGGAUGUAUGCAGUGGCCCUUAAUUCCACAUACACGUUGGGGAUUUAACUGCGAGAAACCCUCUCUGUGUUGCUGAUAAAAAAACGUUCCAGAUGAGAUGUGCAAGUCGGAGAGCUCAGAGGAACCUGCCUGGAAUUGCUGCAGGUUGACUUAGCAAACAUCAGCGUCCCUCAAUUCUGCAUAGAGAUCUGCUGUAUUUCAUGGGGUUUAGCACCACUUCAGGAAGAAAGCCAUCCACCAGGAAAACUGCAAGCGAAGCUGCUUAGAAUAAAUCAUGUUAAGUCGUAUUAUCACCGCCAUGGCUUGGUCUGGUCAAUCAGGCUGAACUAUUUCAACUAUUUAAGGAAAACAAAACAGUACAAAACAAAACCAUCAGUUAUGAAUAUAUGGGUGUUCUGAAUUUUAUUUUUAUUUUCAUUUUAGUGCCAAGAACACAAAGCAAUCAUAUAGCAGUCUGUAACCUUAAGAACAACAAUACGAACAAUUCAGGCAUCCAAAGACGCCAAAUCCUUUUUUGACCACAUGAAGUAUGCAGAAAAAGAUUCAUCAUCAUCUGUUGUCUAUGACUGUCAAAUAAAUAUGUAAAGGAUAAUAAUAAAAAGACCCUUCCUCAGUCAAGGAGCUUCACAGCUAUUUUCUUAAUCAGGAUUUUGUCCCACUCUGUAGUUGAACACGUCCCACAAAAGCCUGAAGGCCACCAACUCCAUUAAAGCAAACCAAAUGAAACAAACCAGCCAACCAAACAGCCAACUAACCAACGAUGCAAUCAAACCAGCCAACUCACCAACCGACCAAACCAGCCUACCAGUGAACCAAACAACCAACCAGACAAACCUGCCAACUAACCAACCAAACCUGCCAACUAACCAAUCAAACCAGUCAACCAAACCAGCCAACCCAUUAACUGAUCAAACCAGGCAACCAAUGAGCCAACCAACCAAACCAGCCAACCAAAACCAGCCAACCAAUCAGCCAACUAAUCAGUCAUGCAAAUGAACCACCCCAAUCCACCAACCAACAAACCAGCCAACCAGCCAACAAAUCAACUAACCAGCCAACUAGCCAACCAACCAAUCAAUCAGUCAACUAACCAACCAACCAGCUAGACCAAUCAACCAACCAACCAACCAAACCAGGCAACCAACAACCAGCAGGACAAACUACCACCCAACCAGCCAUCCAACCAACCAAUCAGCCAAAGAGCAUGCUUUGUUGCCCAAGAUCAGCUCAAAUAAUGGAAUCUUAGUGUACUUCUGAUAAAAAUGGCCUCAGCUCUCCCAUGCUUUAUCCAAGGCUCAGCACAGCACAGUCCUGAUGCUCUGCUACACCAUGGAGGAUUUGCUUUUCUCCUCUUCAUCCCCUUUGAUUUCUGCAUCUAUAAUCACUCCAGCAGUCCAUGAAGUGCGAUCCAUGAUGCAGUCUUCCCUCCACAACCUUGAUGCAACCUAAACACAAGCUGAAAUAUGCUCACUUGAGGAAAUAUGGCAUGAAUCAGACUGAAAUGUGAGCUUUCAAAUAAAAAUGCAGUAAAGCAUCUUGUGUACUUUCUCAAGGUACGUUCACAUAAGUCAGUAACAGUGGUGAGAACCUAGGUCAUAAGGAUUCUAAUGGUCUCCCUGGCAGGAUUGGGUAUGGAACAGCCCACAGGUUAUCCCAGAAGAUCCAUUUUUUUGAUAUAAAGGACCAAGGUUCGGGGAUGUGGCUGCUACUGUCACCUUGCCCUGCAAUGCCAAGAGCGUGCUCCCAGGUGGGAAGUGGGAAGGGCAUCCUCAGGCUUCAAUGGACUGAGGAAAUAGAGGACAGAAUGAUGUGUUUGUGUUCACUGCCAUCCAUCCCACCUUCCCUCACAGAUCCUUUGCCCUGCAGAUGCCAGAUGGAGCUGGAACACUGAAAGCAAUUUUGCCUUUUGGCAGCCCAGGACACUUAGGAUUUCCCUUUCCCCCUUUUCACUUCUUGAGCCAAGCAUUUCUGUGUUUGCAGCCUGCAUCAUGGUAUAACCUGAUUCAGCCUAAGUUGGUCUAAUUUGGCAGGAGCCCAGUCAAAAUCUGGUCUGUCCAAACAAAUUAGUGGAACAAAUUAGUAGCAAGUCAGCAAUUGCCAGCUUGUACACGUCCACAAAAUCAUGACCUUAUUGCCUUCACUGUCAUUAAAAAUUUUCAGGUGGGGCUUAGAGAAGGAAAUUAAUAUGGCAGUGCCAUAUCACCUCUUUGAUGAAAAGCACACCAACAUCAAGCUCCAUCCACACUGACACGAUCCAUCUCCUACUGGUCCCAAGCCCAACAGAAUCUGAAGACACUGAUAAAGUACAUUAAAGAAGGUUUCUGUUUUGAACGACCUAGAAAUUAAAUCCAAAAUAUGUGGUGCAUAUAGGAGGAACUGAGAUUUUUCUAGGCACCCCAGCCAGCAUCUAUGGAGGAAUAAAUCAAAUCACACAUUCAAAGCCAUCUGACUUAAUUCAUCAUCAGCUGUUUUAAUACUGACAUUAAAACAACAACAACAACAAAACAAAACCCCGAAUUGGUCCAGGCUUUCCGUUUGGCUAAAACCAUAAUGCAAGGGCAACGGGAAGCUCGGAGUAACCGCUGUUAAACUCUAUCCGCCCUUCAUCUCCAAUGUAAAACUGAUGCUCGGUAGUCAACAAGAGAAAACUAUUUUUCCAUAACCAGUUCAUUUUGUUUGGCUUAAGCUAAAAUCCGAGGGCUGCCUUUUCAUUUACAGGCACGCUUUGUAUCUAGGUUAAGGACUUUAAAGUAUGCUAAGGAUAGGCUUUUGUUCUCCACCUCCUUGCUGUUCCCUCCUGGUUACCGUGGAGGUCAGCUCCCCCAUUAGAGCCCGUGGGGUGUGACACAUGCUGCAGCGCAGAGCAAGCUGCCACCGAUGCACUCCCUCCUUCACAAAUCCCCACAGGUCACAGCUCCCAGGGGCUCUCAGACAACUUUCUGUAUAAUUCAUGAUCGCUUCCUGAGGUAAAUAAUGCAUUCUGCGCCUCUGGUUAUUGUGCUCCUUCAAAGGCCCAGUCAAAUAAAAGUUUGUUGUUUAUCUUACUUUAAGAAUGACUGUUUGCCCAUCUCCCCUGACGUACCUUUAUCUUGUUUCUGCCUCCCACAAUAGCGAGAAGUCACUGCCAGGUAACCCCUUCCAUUUCAACCCUCUGAAAAAAAAAAUCAUGGCGUGCUGCGUUCAAUUCCAUGGGUAAAGUGCCCUGACCCCCGCUGUAUCUCUGAGAUUUACGCUGGGCUGUAUCCACUUUUUCCCCUUCAGUCACCACACACAGCAGCCAGGACUCAUUAUCUGCCAAGCAGCCUCCAUCAGAUGGAGCCCAUAGGGUUUGGGAUGGAUGCCACUGUCACUGGGUCCCCAUUUAGCUAUGUUCACUGAGAAAGGCUUUGGUAUGGUACAGAAACUGAAGUAAGGACAAAAGGUAAUCUUUAGGAUGAGAGAGGAUGGCUUGACGUGCCAGGGGAGGUUCAGGUUGGUUGUUAGGAACAAUUCCUUCUCCCAAAGAGCGGUGAGGCAGUGGCACAGCUGCCCAGGGAGUGGUGGGGUCACCGUCCUGGAGGUGUCCCAGAGCCAUGGGGAUGUGGCACUGAGGGAUGUGGGCAGUGAGCACGGUGGGGGUGGGCUUGGGUUGGACUGGAUUAUCUUAGUGGUAUUCUCCACCUUCAUGAUUCUAUGAUUCUAUGGUUCUAAACCAACCAGGAGAGAAAGUUAGCCAGGAGGUGCUAAGCCAGAAGCCACACACGUAGGGAUACAGCGCUGACAGCAUCCAGCCUGGUCCCGA